GGCCGGGGGCCGGGGGGCGGCCGCGGAGGGAGAGCCAGGCCCGGAAGGGACUGGCUCGUGGUCCCCGCCGCCGCCGCCGUCCUGUCCGGGAGGGCGGCUCCGGGCUUCCUCGGGCCCCUCUGCCAUCGUCGCCUCGGAGGCACCCUCCGCGCUGCCUGUCACUGCGCCGUCGCCCUCCCUCGGCAGCCCCUCCGCAACCGCUCGGGAGCCACCACAGCAGCGGCGGGCGUCAACAAUCCGCCGCCGGAAGCGGAAACCCCUCCCCUCCGGCGCGGCUGCGGGGGAACCGGGUGGGUGGUGGCACGGCCUGACUCCAAGGCUUGUUUGUCGGUUUCAUGUUGUACCCAUAUACAUUGCCCGGGAAAUUUGGCACAAGGAAAGACCAUUAUAGGGUAUCUAAACAGCAAGUGACUAACACAGUAAACUGGAGAGGUGGCUGAGGAAAACUGGCUCUAACACUGGAGCAUGUUUCUGAGGAGGAUUGGAUUUUGGAGAUGUAGGGUUUGGAGUGUGGGUUUUGGUUGGAGAUCGAGCUUGUCCUUGAGCCCUCAGGCUGGGGUUCUUAUAUGUCUUCUGGUCGUCUGUGACAUGCCGGAGCCCUGGGAACACGGACGGUUAGUUUCAAUUGUCAACUUCCCCUAACCUGGAAUUGCCUGGGAAGAGACUCUCAACAAGAGACUGUCUAGAUCACCUUGGCCUGAGGACACGUCUGAGGGGGUUUGUCUUGAUUGCCUUAAUUGAUGUGGAAACAGCCUAUAAAUGGGUGGCGCCCAAACCAUCCCCUGGUUUUGGAACUUGGACUCUCUAAGAGCAGAGAAAACUAGCUGAAUAUUCAGCAUGCAUGUAUUCUCUCUGCUCUUGACUGUGAUGUGACUAGUUACUCUAAGUUCCUGCCUUGACUUCCCCACAAUGAGGGACUGUAAACUGGACUUUUAAGCCAAAUAAAUCCCCCCUCCCUUAAA